rnacentral:rRNA from 1 species
GGUUGAUCCCGCCGGACCUGACUGCUAUCGGAUUGAUACUAAGCCAUGCGAGUCAUUGUAGCAAUACAAGGCAGACGGCUCAGUAACGCGUAGUCAACCUAACCUAUGGAUGGGAAUAACCUCGGGAAACUGAGAAUAAUGCCCAAUAGAACACUAUACCUGGAAUGGUUUGUGUUCCAAAUGAUUUAUCGCCGUAGGAUGGGACUGCGGCCUAUCAGUUUGUUGGUGAGGUAAUGGCCCACCAAGACUAUUACAGGUACGGGCUCUGAGAGGAGUAGCCCGGAGAUGGGUACUGAGACACGGACCCAGGCCCUAUGGGGCGCAGCAGGCGAGAAAACUUUGCAAUGUGCGAAAGCACGACAAGGUUAAUCCGAGUGAUUUGUGCUAAACGAAUCUUUUGUUAGUCCUAGAAACACUAACGAAUAAGGGGUGGGCAAGUUCUGGUGUCAGCCGCCGCGGUAAAACCAGCACCUCAAGUGGUCAGGAUGAUUAUUGGGCCUAAAGCAUCCGUAGCCGGCUCUGUAAGUUUUCGGUUAAAUCUGUACGCUCAACGUACAGGCUGCCGGGAAUACUGCAGAGCUAGGGAGUGGGAGAGGUAGACGGUACUCGGUAGGAAGGGGUAAAAUCCUUUGAUCUAUUGAUGACCACCUGUG